rnacentral:snoRNA from 1 species
UCCCUCCAGAUUCCUUAGGCCUCAAACCUCAAUAGUGGUCUGAGUGGCUUUAAAAAAAAAAAGGAGGAAAAGUAAAACUGAAAUGGGCUUGGAGUCUUUAGUGACAAGCAAGCUCAUCUUAAACAGAC